UUUCCACAUUUCGUUCAGUUGAAAAGGAGAUGUAUGAAAAUGUUUAUUAUGAUUUCAGAAAAAUAUGGAGGACACUUUAAAGCUGCUUGGAUUAACUUGUGAUAAACAUCAGACUUCAUGCAUACAAAGCCUUGCUAUGAUAUAACAAGUGAGAAGGAAAGAGUUAAAAGAUGUGCAAAUUAGUUCAGGCCAGAUGAAUUGCCCCUAUAUGAGGCAAGGUGACAUGAGAAUUUUUCAGAUUUCAAAAAAGACAUGGUUUGGCUAUUUCUUAACAAGGUGAAUACAAGAAAGACGAACUCCUAGAAGCUGCUAGGAGUGGUAAUGAAGAAAAACUAAUGGCUUUACUGACUCCUCUAAAUGUGAAUUGCCAUGCAAGUGAUGGGCGAAAGGUAAGUUAUUUUAAAUACAAUCCUCUUUAAUUGCAAUGCUUCAAAAUUUUGUGAAUGUGGCAUAUAUAUAUAUAAGCACGUAUACCUACAUGGCUUUAUUUUAACUGGCAUCUUUUCACUGUAAAUGAAAUGCUACUAUAUCUGUUAUUGGCAGUUGUGACACAUUCAUAGAACUGGUGAAGCAUGGAUCUUAAGUAAGCCUUUUCUCUUAAAUGUCAGACACAGCAAGUUAUUUGUUACAUGAAACUGCAGUUUUGUCGGUGAUUAAAAUUACAGCAUAUGCUCUUUUCUGGGUAUGAUAAUGGAAACUGGAAAUAUGAGUGUCCUAUUUACCCAUCUUUGUUAAGACAUUUGUG
rnacentral:misc_RNA from 1 species